rnacentral:rRNA from 1 species
AUGGAUAGGCAAAGCACAUCAUCUCCGGUCUACAACAACGACGACGAGUUCGAUGCUAUGAAGAACUUCAUCGACGCCAAGAUGGACAAGCGCAUGGAGGAGCUCAAGGCCCUCAUCAAGAACCGCAAGCGAUCUUCCUCAUCUCCGAGAAGACGCUCAAGUGCAAAGACUCCUGAGCUACCAUCUCCGGCAAGUACACACAAGCAUCGACAUCGACAUGACCAUGAAGAGCGAGCUUCAGAACAUGUGUUGGCUGCUCUGCAAACCCCGUGCACACGGGCCCUCGACCCCCGCGCCCACGGGACCCCGUGCACAUGGCCUCCUGCACCCCCGUGUACACGGGCUCUACUGAACCGCGACAUCAACUACAAGACUACGGCUUCUUCAACACCUUUGGCAUCUUCGCCAAGUGACUUCAAGGCAUCUUCGCCUUCAGACAUGCGGCAUCUUUGCCUACUCCACGAGCUCAAGUGCACUACUCCCUCGAGCUACUACGACCUCGACAUCGACCAUGCAAUUCCUUUCUAUGGGACUCAAGAACCCGAGGAGUACCUAGAGUGGGAGCGUUUGAUGGACGACUACCUCAAGCUACAUCAAGUCCCUUCUGAAGAUCAAGUGAAGUGCGCUAGAAGAAACUUCCACGACUACGCCUCGACAUGGUGGCUUCACACACCUUCGAAGAGCUACGAGAUGAGUUGGUCCAAGACAAAGAAAGUGAUGCGGCAAGAGUUUGUGCCUCCAACCUACAUGGAACAAAUUCGACGCCAAUUGGAGAACACCACCCAAGGAUCCAAGUCCAUCGACAAGUACUUCAAGGAGAUGAAGAUUGCUUUGCGACGAGCCGGCAUGGACGACCCCAUGUCAAUGAAGUUCCACUUCGUGAUGGGAUUGCACAACAACAUCUCCAAGACAAUCUUCCUCGAGAACUACAAGUCCAUCGACGACUACUACAUCGGUGCUCUCAAGGCGGAACAAGAACUAGUGAAGGCCAAGGCUUCUCCACCCGAGAGUGAUGAUGUGCCAUCUUCGGCCUUCAUCCACGGCGACCACGACGAGAUGGUUGAGCAUGGGAUUUUCCCUUCGACCACGGUGACAUAUGAUGACUUGAGUGACUUUUGCCACCAUAUUGAGAGUGAGAGUGACUUCACCACUAGCCCCAUAUAUGAUGCGCUGCCCUAA